CUUAAGUAAAACAAAAAGGAAAUUGGGUCAUCUUCUUGAUGGGGGUGCCGAAAAUAGAAGGAAAAAGAAAAAGAGAAUAGCCAUUGUUGAAGCUUGGAUGUUUGGUUCUCUAAGCUAGUGCAUCUAACAUUGUGCCGGAAAUCUCGGCUAAGCAAGAAAAAGGCAAAGUCGACAAGGGUUAGCUCGGAAAUUACGGUUAAGUUAAAGCUAGAUCGUUGAAUCAGCAUCCCAGGCCGAUCCCAAAUUCAAUGAGGUAAAGCGUGUUAAUAGUUGGUAAUGGCAUGUACCUAGGAUGUUUUAUGUAUGUGUCAUUUUGAAUUGUUAAUGUAUUGAUGAAAUAAGUAGAAUUAAGCUUGGUAAUGGUAUAUAAUAGGACUUGACUAUUUUAGUAUGAAUUUGAAUCAUAUUGAUAAUAUAUGAUAAGUGAUUGGAAUUGAGUAUUGGAUAAUAUAUAAAAUGUCUAAAUUUAGCAA